UGUGCAGCUGCUCUCCCCUAACAGCUGACAAAGAGGUGCACUCGGAGUGUCUGGCACAAAUAAAACCAGCAGUAAAUCCCAAAGUACCUUAGAGUUGGGAAGUUUACAGUCACACCAUCUUCCAUCGAUCAUGUGCCGCUGAGACAUUACUUUCACUUGGGUUUCGUAAUCCGUGAACCGAACAAACCCAAAACCUUUUGAGUGGCCUGUUUUAAUAUCUUUCUUAACCUAGGUGGAAAAAAAAAACAAAACAGAAGUUACCACUAAUAUGAAGCAUGUUCAUCCAUCUUAUAACCAUUCUUAUCACAGCAACCUCUAAUUCCUUAACAUCUUCUCCCAAAAUUAACAGGCUCAUGGAAAAAAAGAAAGACACCCUUAGUAAGAGACACAGCUUCUGAUCUUGUCCAAGUUUAUAAAGCUCCUUUGUUUCUGCUUGUUUUCUCAGGAGCCCGAUAUCAACCCAAUGUUCCUCCUUACUUAAGCUGCAAAUGGAUUUUACCUGCACCAUCAGAACUUCUCCAAAGAUCAGCAGUGACUGCGACCUUAAAGAAAGCAGCCUUGUACAGAGAACCGAAG
rnacentral:lncRNA from 12 species